CCUACGGGAGGCAGCAGUGGGGAAUAUUGGACAAUGGUGGAAACCCUGAUCCAGCGACGCCGCGUGAGUGAAGAAGUAUUUCGGUACGUAAAGCUCUAUCAGCAGGAAAGAAAAUGACGGUACCUGACCAAGAAGCCCCGGCUAACUAAGGGCCAGCAGCCCCGGUAAGACGGCGGGGGCAAGCGUUAUCCGGAUUUACUGGGUGUAAAGGGAGCGUAGACGGCAGCGCAAGUCUGGAGUGAAAUGCCGGGGCCCAACCCCGGAACUGCUCUGGAAACUGUGAAGCUAGAGUGCAGGAGAGGUAAGCGGAAUUCCUGGUGUAGCGGUGAAAUGCGUAGAUAUCAGGAGGAACACCGGCGGCGAAGGCGGCUUACUGGACUGUAACUGACGUUGAGGCUCGAAGGCGUGGGGAGCAAACAGGAUUAGAUACCCUUGUAGUC
rnacentral:rRNA from 1 species